CUGGCCAGAUUCGAUAACGGUGGGUUGUGGGUUGCGGGAAGGGGCUCGAUGCUAGAUGUGCAGAGGAUGGUAAUGAGGUCAGUGUCGGCUGCCAUGAGCCCCCGCAGAGCGGGGCAGGCAGGGAGGGCUGCUGGGGCCAGAGAGGAGGAGAGAGGCAAGGGCCGGAAAGGCCUCCAAGGCCACAGCAAACCACCAGCAGUGGACGCCUCGAGUGGAUGGAAGGAAUUCCUGAGUAAAGGGGGACAGUGGAUGAGGCCAGGAGAGGGUGGCAGAGAGCCCAGGGCCACACAGGGAAGACGAUGAUAGAGGAGGAGGUCUGGGCUGCCAAGGGGCAGCAGCUGUGGAGAGAAGGGGCGGGUCUGGAGGGACAGCCAGCCUCGAAACCAGGGGGCCAACAAGCAGGGGAGGGGACGGCCAACGGUGGCCCAUGCUGGCCAGAGAGUUUGGUAAUGAGGAGGUCACUAGUGGCCUUGGCAGGGAGUGGAGGGAACAGAGCCAGGUGACAGGGAGAGCUCCUGCAGAAAGACGGGCAGACAGUAAGCCUGGGGAGGAUGUGGCGCUGGGGUAGUCAGUGCCCAGGAAAUGUUUGGGGAUAGCAUGGGCUAGGGACAGAAGGCAGGAGGAUGGGCUGGGAGGAGAAGGGCUCAUCUUCCUUGCACCACAGACACCAGAGGGCAGGGUGGCUGCUGCUGCAGAAAGUGUGCAGGCCACACAAGAAAUGUUUGCAGGCACCUCUGCUGGGAAUAAGAUCUGCUCUUACAGUUUGCGGAAAAGCAGUGUUCUUUAGUAAAAAUCUCAGAAUAUACAGAAUGGCAUAAACAACACCUUUUCUCCCUCCACCUAGAAUCAACCGUCGAACAUUUCCUGUCCUUACAGAUCCUUUACGAAAACGGGAUCUUGUUCAACACAUACUGCUUUAUGGGCUGCUUUGUUCAUGUCAUAUGAAAGUUAUUUCUCCAUUAUCAAUUUUAACCGGAAGCACCAGGAUUAGGGUUCUAAUUAAUGCCCUGUUUUUGAAUGUAUAGAUGGUUUCCAUCUUUUACUACUCCAAAUAGUACUUAUUUAGGGCACCUGGCUGAGAAUUUCCUUAGAAUGACUGCCAGGAGAGGCUUCCAGGUGGAGGCGCCCGGACGUUCUGUGCAUGUCGUUUUUACACGUGCUGUCGCACUGCCCUCCUGGGGGUUCCAUCUGUUUACACUGUCCCCAGGAAUAAAUGAGGGCUCUGGCUUUCCACACUCUUCUCCUCAACAAGGAUUAAUAAUAAAAAACUCUCUGCCAAUUUGCUAAUGAAAAAUGGUAUCCUUUGCUUUUCUAAUUUUCAUUUAGCUAUGAAAAGGCUUCAUUGAAAUUACCCACAGAUAGUUUGAGGUCAUGGACAAUUACAUUAAUUAAUUCAUAAUUGAACUUUCCAGUUCUGUUGGAUAGUUCCCUUCGCCUGCCAGUAGAGGGCUCUUCGCUCCUAUCAAAUAUCACUAGAGGGUUUUUGUUUUGUGUCAAUUAUGAAAUAAAGACAAAUCGCCACCGUGUGCUUUUUCAAAUGCUAGCAAGUUCUAGCAAAGAACUAAAGACCUCUCCAUCCACAUGCAUUUUAUGGGAUUGAUCUUUUGUAUUUUCCAAAGAAACACUGUCAAACCUUCACCAUCAGAAUUAGAUUCUCAGGGGAUAAUGCCUCAACAAUUAAAAGCUGUUUGUGUUUCGGCACGCAUGGGUUAUGAAGAUGCUCUGCCCAGAUGACCCCUGGACAUUUUGGAGGUUCUCUCUGAAAGGAUCCUAUUUUGCUUGCCAAGGAGAACUGCAGGAAUAAAACAGCUACUUGUUUUUUUCCGGCUGCUGUGUCUCAGCUGAAACUCAUUCACUCAUUCAUUCAUCCCACACGUAUUUACGGUGCAUCUGAGAGCUCUGUGGUAGGAGGCAGGGGUGUCUGGGAGUUGGGAGACAUGGUCCCUGCCUGUGGAGGGUGCAGCUGCCUGUGUCUGAAUGGGCGACGCUGAGUGAGGUGCUGUGGGGUUAGGGAGGGUGCGGGGGAGUGAGGCCUAUUUGCAGGGGAGGGGGUUCACUUUCCCAUACUGUGGUCACUUGAAUUCUGUUUAAAUAGUUCAUAUGACAUUUUGGCUUGCAUUUCCACUAUUGAAAAAUUAUAUUUGAAGUUUCUAUUUCCUUGUAAUACCUUUUAUGUACUUGCAGAGGUUACUUGAAGUCCUCACUGCAAUUAGCUGGACAUAAACCAUAAAUGAUCAUCAAAAGAAGGGCAGAGCCCUCUGCCCACCACACUAGGGCCAAUGAAUUCUCGCCAGGUGGCACGGACUCUGGCCAGCUUGGAGAAGUCUGUGUCCAAAGCCAUUCUCAACUUCCCAAGGCACCUCCAUCGCCCCCAGCCCGAGUGUUUCCGGGUUGCCUAAACAUUUUCAAUGCUUGUGGCAUCAAGCCCUGGUCCGGCACCGUCCCCGAUACAGAACACCUGCGGACGCCACGCUGUGGUUCUGGUGAUUGACAGCCUGCAGAGUGUGUCUCCACACCGGACUGACACAGAGCCAGGGGCCUCCACAGCCUGACGCUUCCCCCCGUGGGGUGCUCCCUGUCGUCACUGGACAGGUGGAGUGGGAUGUGUAUCCCGGGUCCUGGAGAAACCUGGCCCUCAUUUCCUUCCUCCUGGGAGUCCCUUUCCCACGGCAGUCUCUGACACCGCUGGACCCGGCUACAUGGCCCACCGUGGCCUAGGGCCUUUCUUUCAUGUCCUUUUUUCUCCUUCUUUGCGGGUGCAUGUGUCUGAAUUCUGAGAAGUUUCCCAUGUGUGGGGGUCUAGGUCUCCCUCCCCACCUGGGCCCCUCCCCGGUGUCUGGUUUGACGUGGCCUCCCAGGACUGACACGGAUGUUCCAGGCAGUGGAAACAACGGCAGAGGCCUCACUGGCCGUACAGAGGCCUGCACCCCCACCGACAGCGGGUUUUGACGGACUCUGGGCGCUAGUGAGGUGUCUGUCUGGGUUCCUUACUGUAGCACAUGGUGAGUGUGGCCCACGGUGGGGCGUGGAGAGUGGGGAGGCCCUGCCUAUGUGAGAACAGGUUAUGUGGGAGCUGUCUGCACUUUCUCCUCCUUUUUGCCAGGAACUGAAAGCUGCUCUGAAAAAUAAAGUCUAUGUAAAGAACAAAAGGUUCUGAAGCCUAUGUGCACGCCCCUCCUCAGCCGGCCUCUUCAUGGAUGACCCGCUCAAGACUCAGGGCACUGGCCUCCCACCAUGUCCACACCUGAGGCUGCACCGGAGUCGCUAAAUCCUGCGUCCCUCUCCCCCUGUCCUUGCUCCUCUCUUUCCUCUCCCCCUCCUUUUUGAUCAGCCCUGUUUUGGUGGCCAGGUGUAGGCCUUGCAUUAUCCUUACUGAUAUCCACCUUGUAAAAUGAGACUAACAUAUUUAUCACACUAAUUGUACA